CAGAGACUGCAAGCGUUAUUCGGAUUCACUGGGCGUAAAGGGUGCGCAGGCGGCCGUGUGUGUUGGGCGUGAAAGCCCGGGGCUUAACCCCGGAAUUGCACCCAAAACUACAUGGCUAGAGCAUUGGAGAGGGUAGCAGAAUUCAUGGUGUAGCAGUGAAAUGCGUAGAUAUCAUGAGGAAUACCAGAGGCGAAGGCGGCUACCUGGACAAUUGCUGACGCUCAGGCACGAAAGCGUGGGGAGCAAAAGGGAUUAGAUACCCCUGUAGUCCACGCCCUAAACGGUGCACACUAGGUCUUGGCGGAUUCGACCCCACCAGGGCCCAAGCUAACGCGUUAAGUGUGCCGCCUGAGGACUACGGCCGCAAGGCUA
rnacentral:rRNA from 1 species